rnacentral:rRNA from 1 species
GACGAACGCUGGCGGCGUGCUUAACACAUGCAAGUCGAACGGAAAGGCCCUGCUUUUGUGGGGUGCUCGAGUGGCGAACGGGUGAGUAACACGUGAGUAACCUGCCCUUGACUUUGGGAUAACUUCAGGAAACUGGGGCUAAUACCGGAUAGGAGCUCCUGCUGCAUGGUGGGGGUUGGAAAGUUUCGGCGGUUGGGGAUGGACUCGCGGCUUAUCAGCUUGUUGGGGGGGUAGUGGCUUACCAAGGCUUUGACGGGUAGCCGGCCUGAGAGGGUGACCGGGCCCAAUGGGACUGAGGAACGGCCCAGACUCCUACGGGGGGGAGGAGUGGGGAAUUUUGCACAAAGGGCGGAAGCCUGAAUGAACAACGCCGGGUUGGGGAAGACGGCCUUCGGGUUGGAAACCGCUUUCGCCUGUGACGAAGCGUGAGUGACGGUAAUGGGUAAAGAAGCACCGGCUAACUACGUG